rnacentral:rRNA from 1 species
UACGUAGGUGGCAAGCGUUGUCCGGAUUUACUGGGCGUAAAGAGCGCGCAGGCGGUCGGAUAAGUCGAAUGUGAAAGCCCCCGGCUCAACUGGGGAGGGUCACGCGAUACUGAUCGACUCGAAGGCAGGAGAGGGUAGUGGAAUUCCCGGUGUAGUGGUGAAAUGCGUAGAUAUCGGGAGGAACACCAGUGGCGAAGGCGACUACCUGGCCUGUUCUUGACGCUGAGGCGCGAAAGCUAGGGGAGCAAACGGG